rnacentral:tRNA from 1 species
GGAGAAGUACCCAAGAGGCCGAAGGGGAGGCUUUGCUAAAGCUUUAGGCGGGGCAACCUGCGCGGGGGUUCGAAUCCCCCCUUCUCCGCCA